UGAAGAGGUGAAAAUCUCGGUGAACCUGGUUGGUCUCGACACCUUUUCGUAGCACACUUUAACCGAAGAACCGGAUCGGACCGUAGUGAAAAAUAGAAUAAAUAUCCUUUGAUUGAGGACCUGUUGAAACACUGCGAUUGACCAUCCAGAGUAGUACCGUAACGUCACGUAGACUGGUACGGUGAUUGAUUGUGAGUAUCUGUAAAGAGAAGAAAGUAACAAGUAAAUUUAUUAAUAAAUGCAUUAAAUGAUAGGAAAAAUAAGCGGGAAAGGAGUAUACAGUAGAAAGAGUUCAGGAAGGAAGUAUCGUAAGGAAGGAGGAGACUAUUUGAGUAAGUAAU